UUGCUCAUUUCAGUAGCACAUAUGCUAAAAUUGAACCAAUACAGAGAAGAUUAGCACGCCCUGUGUAAGCAUGACACACAAAUUCAUGACACAUUUAUCCUUAUG
rnacentral:snRNA from 1 species